GGCUUGACUCAAGUUCAUCUGUGAAUCCUGUGAAAACUCUUUUUCAGUGUUCACUCUUACUAUGGCUAGAGAUUUUCUGAACUCAGUCUUACGAAUAGCAUAGGACUUAUCCUUUUCUUCCAAGAUCGAUAGAUUCUAUCUAGGUGCAUCCUAUUCCAAACAGCGAAUCUGAACCUAAAAUAGCCAAUAUAUACAGUAAGGACCCGAAUGGUUAUGGACCAAACCAAUAUACAGUCAAACUAAGUAGCCUCACUGUGAAUAGCAACACACCAUAGGUCAAAGGACCAGUCACACCACUGC
rnacentral:lncRNA from 1 species